ensembl:lncRNA
CAGUCAUACAAGAUGCCACAUUUUAUCCAAUGACAUCAUUUUCUGGAUGAAACUUCAAUUGCCUGGGGUCUGCAGAGUUGCAUACCCCACACAAUGUGACUGCAGUGUGCCAAUGAAAAUACAUGUUUGUUCUGCUUCUCCUCAGAGCUAUCCAGACCAUUACCAAUGCUUUUGGAAGAAGUUUUCCAGGAGACGUUUUUCCAGGAGGUCUUACUUCUAAAAGGAAGCACACAGUGUGUUGUGUACUCACUUUAAUAUGUAAAGCAGUCUCACAUGGCCGAAUAAGCAUAUGGAACUCUUGCCAAGAGUGCAGAAAACAGUGACUCACCUUUAAUUUUUUCAUAAUAACAGUUGAUCAAGACACUUUAUUAUGCAAAUAAGUAACCCACUAACCCUGAAAUUUCUGUCUGACUUGUCAGAUUUCUCCUAAUAGAGAUGGUAUGUGGAGAAGACAGACUGGGUCAGGGUGUGGCUUCAUAUUGGGACAUGUUUGUGUGUUGCCUGCUGUGAAGAUACGGUGGCUCAAAGGGGAAAUGGCUUCACUCGGCAGUCAGGGGCCUCCGAACAAGAUGUUAUCUUACAGUGUGAGAAUGAGAGAAGGCAGGAAGAGAUGUGAUGCUGUGGACUUUCCUCAUCAUAGGCCACCAACCUACAAUACUCACCACAAGACUUCAUUGUGGGAUUCUAAUGGGUACAGAGCCAAAACAUUAGCAGAGCUGAACACAGAGGAGCUUUGCCAGUGGUUUAGUAAUAUUGGUCUACAGAAAUGCCUGCCCUUCAUUAGAGAUGAGUUCUCCCCUAAGCAGCAGAUUGGAGAUUUGCCUGGCUCAGAGACGAGCCUAAUGGAGCUUCACUUAUGUAGGAAGAUAUUCAGAGAAAAGAUCUGAAAAACAACACCAGGAAGAUUCAAGAGCUAAAUCAACAGAUGGCCUCCCUUCAAAACAUCAUCAUACAGGUUCAGGAGCUUUACCAUGGCCUAGCCUUCUGCUCAGAGCUGAAGAAGAUGGAAGGCAAGAUGGAUGCAGUGCAGAAGAAUAAGCCAUCAGAGGUCCGACUUCUGGAGAAGAUGAGGCUGAACUGCGAGGUGUUUACAGAUGAGAUCACACUGAUCCACCUCAAUUGACAUGUGGCUCACCUGCGUGAAAUUCUGGAGAAGAUGCAGGCCAAGAAGAAAGCCAAGAGGAAGAGCUCUACUCUGACUCAGCUGGUCUCUUUACAGUCUCCUGUCAUGCUGGUGCCCACCCAAGUCAAAGCAGACCCAGACGGUCAUUAUGGUUUCUCUGAGUAGAGGGCCAGGGUCUGAUGGUGGUACAUAGUACUGAGGCUGCUAAUCUCUGUCUGAAUGACAGGUAAUUGUCAGCACAUGUAAUUGAUUUAAAAAUAUUUUAAUGAAUGUUUUAUCUUUUUAACAUGCCUUCAAACUUUUCUUUAACUGCACCAAAAAUGUUAUUGAAACAUUUAAAGGAAUAGUUCGUCCAAAAAUGAAAACUGGAACACCAUUUUUGGGUGAUCUAAGUGAUUUCCACCAACCAUAACCUUUGGGUCAUAGUCUUAAAAACAACUGAAAUGUGA